rnacentral:rRNA from 1 species
CACGUAGGGCGCGAGCGUUGUCCGGAAUUAUUGGGCGUAAAGAGCGUGUAGGCGGCCUCGCAAGUCGGGUGUGAAAGCCCUGGGCUCAACCCAGGAAGUGCACUCGAAACUGCAAGGCUUGAGUCCCGGAGAGGAAAGCGGAAUUCUCGGUGUAGAGGUGAAAUUCGUAGAUAUCGAGAGGAACACCGGUGGCGAAGGCGGCUUUCUGGACGGCGACUGACGCUGAGACGCGAAAGCGUGGGGAGCAAACAGG